AACAGAAGGCUGCUGGGGAAGUGCCCGAAAAGAUGUGGAUGAAGCCUAUUCGAAUGAUAGAUUCAUCAUCCCAUAUCCUGGUAUUGUCAGGGAUGAAACGCAUUACAUAGAUAAGAUGAUGUCAGUGUCAGAUAUAACUGGCGAACUUACUUCUUGGUCAGGUUUUCAGAAUUUCAAGGAGAAAAAUGGGGAACUAGCAGCUCAAAAAUACUUGAUGAUUUCCAAAAUGGGUUUAUAAAGCUCCUAGACGUACCAACUGCUCCAGAAGACACCCAGGUUUUGCAUGCGUUUACAGUUUUUCCUUCUCAUGGGCCGUA